rnacentral:rRNA from 1 species
UACGUAGGGGGCAAGCGUUGUCCGGAAUCAUUGGGCGUAAAGCGCGUGUAGGCGGCUCGGUAAGUCUGCUGUGAAAGUCCAGGGCUCAACCCUGGGAUGCCGGUGGAUACUGUCGAGCUCGAGUCCGGAAGAGGCGAGUGGAAUUCCUGGUGUAGCGGUGAAAUGCGCAGAUAUCAGGAAGAACACCCGUGGCGAAGGCGGCUCUCUGGAACGUUACUGACGCUGAGACGCGAAAGCGUGGGGAGCAAACAGG